rnacentral:rRNA from 1 species
UACGUAGGUGACAAGCGUUGUCCGGAUUUACUGGGCGUAAAGAGCGCGCAGGCGGUCGUUCAAGUCGAGUGUGAAAGCCCCCGGCUCAACUGGGGAGGGUCAUUCGAUACUGAUCGACUCGAAGGCAGGAGAGGGAAGUGGAAUUCCGGGUGUAGUGGUGAAAUGCGUAGAUAUCCGGAGGAACACCAGUGGCGAAGGCGAACUUUCUGGCCUGUUCUUGACGCUGAGGCGCGAAAGCUAGGGGAGCAAACAGG